UGGGGAAUUGUUCGCAAUGGGCGCAAGCCUGACGACGCAACGCCGCGUGGGGGAUGAAGGUCUUCGGAUUGUAAACCCCUGUUGGGUGGGACGAACACUUUCGUGGUGAAUAUCCACGAGGGCUGACGGUAACCACAGAAGAAGCCCCGGCUAACUUCGUGCCAGCAGCCGCGGUAAGACGAAGGGGGCUAGCGUUGUUCGGAAUUACUGGGCGUAAAGCGCACGUAGGCGGCCUUUCAAGUCAGAUGUGAAAGCCCCGGGCUUAACUCGGGAACUGCAUUUGAUACUGUUGGGCUAGAGACCGGGAGAGGAUAGCGGAAUUCCCAGUGUAGAGGUGAAAUUCGUAGAUAUUGGGAAGAACACCAGUGGCGAAGGCGGCUAUCUGGACCGGUACUGACGCUGAGGUGCGAAAGCGUGGGGAGCAAA
rnacentral:rRNA from 1 species